GACGGGGGGUCCUAGCGUUGUUCGGAAUCAUUGGGCGUAAAGCGUGUGCAGGUGGUUUUAUAAGUUAGAUGUGAAAUCCUUGGGCUUAACCCAAGAAGUGCAUUUAAAACUAUAAAACUUGAAUAUGGAAGAGGGUCGUGGAAUUCCAGGUGUAGUGGUGAAAUACGUAGAUAUCUGGAGGAACACCGGCGGCGAAGGCGGCGACCUGGUCCAAUAUUGACACUCAUACACGAAAGCGUGGGGAUCAAACAGG
rnacentral:rRNA from 1 species